rnacentral:rRNA from 1 species
CACGGAAGGUGCAAGCGUUGUUCGGAAUCACUGGGCUUAAAGGGCGAGUAGGCGGGACGGAGGGUGUCGUGUGAAAUCCCUCGGCUCAACCGAGGAACCGCACGGCAAACCGCCGUUCUUGAGACAGGUAGAGGCGACUGGAACGUUCGGUGGAGCGGUGAAAUGCGUAGAUAUCGAACGGAACACCGGUGGCGAAAGCGGGUCGCUGGGCCUGUUCUGACGCUGAAUCGCGAAAGCGUGGGUAGCAAACAGG